GCGAAGCAAUAAAAUACGUCUCUGCAAACAUUGAGACACCUAACUAGGUAAAUGGUUGCUUGCACUUUUGCACUGAUGUUUUUUAGCACUUAUUUUUUAGUAUUCGAACCAACGUUACGAGCCGAUGAAAAAAAAACAAACAAAAAAAAAAGCUUCAAAAUUGGGCUAAAACUUCACCGCAGCAACUUUACAUCAGAAUGAAUUGGGACCAAAUUCACAUAAACGUUGUCUCACUGUACCACUGUAACACUAACCUUGUGCCUCAUCGGUGUGGAAGGAAAGGAAUCAGCGUUUUAUAGCAUUUGAUUCCAUCCAUUAAAGAAAGAAAAUACAAAUAAAACAAAUCGCCGGUGCCGUGUGAAGUUACUUUUCGUGCCAAAAUGCUGAGUUCCGGUGCGUACCCUUCAAAGUAAAAGUCUACAAGCUUAGAACAGGAAGUCAAGUUAAAAUUUGCACAUAUAAACCAUUUGACGUCAAUUGGGAUAGUCCAACAAACAUGACCUUUUAGUUCAUAGGUUUGAUAUGGAUACUGGUUAUAAAGAACCUCGGGUCAAAUGUUCAUUUUAGUCGACGCUACGGGCUGCUAAGAAAAUGGACGUUCAUGAUUUGGACACCCUUUAUUAAAACCAUGCAAACUUUUUUAACCCAGCCUCCUAAAAGAAUCGGAAUCAAGAAUCGUUUGGAACUAGUUUCGGAACCGUCAUUUCUCAAAUUCAAACAAUUCCCAACCCUAGUGAGUGCCCAACUAAUUUGAUAGCGAUUACAUUUGGCAUUUACAAGUCAGUGCACAUUCUCGGUGAGUCAGAUUGGGGCAAGGCGAACCUAACGUGGAUCACACCUCUGAUGUAAAUCAUUGUUUUCUGGAAUUUCAUUUUCUCACACAGUUGUAUAACAUCCAGCACUGAGGCAUGAGGUCUGGCGAAACCAACACAGGACAAAUUCCCCAAUGGGCGUCCGUGACAAAGACGUUGCUUGGAUGGCAGCAUAUGUUUCUCCAAAACCUAUGCUGGCUUUUGAACUUUGCGUCCAUAACAGUCCGGAUGGUUCUUUUCCUCUUUGGCACGGAGGACACGACGACCACAAUUUCCCAAAAACAAUUUGAAAUGUGGACUCGUCG